rnacentral:rRNA from 1 species
ACGAGGGGCCCGAGCGUUAAUCGGAGUCACUGGGCUUAAAGGGUGCGCAGGCUGGCCCGAAAGCGUCCUGUGAAAGCCCCCGGCUCAACCGGGGAACAGCGGGGCGAACUUCGGGUCUUGAGGCAGGUAGGGGCGGAUGGAACUGUCGGUGGAGAGGUGGAGUGCGUAGGUAUCGACAGGAACGCCGAUGGCGAAGGCAGUACGCUGGGCCUGUCCUGACGCUCAGGCACGAAAGCGUGGGGAGCAUUCAG